GGUGCGGGGAGGGCCGGGGGUCUCGCCGUCCCCCCGCCCCGUAUAGGGGCGCCUGAAGGCGUCACGCAGGGGCCAGUAACCCCUGGCAGGCGUUUAUGGGGCCUAGCUGGCCCACAGGGGGUGCCAGGCCAUGAGCCCUGCCCUGCGGGGCGGGCGGAGUGGGUGGCCCCGCUGGAGAGCGGGAGCCAACCCGCUUAGCCGGGGAAACCUGGCCAGGCCCGGAAGGGAGCAACCUAUCCCCGGACGCUCCGCGUUCGCAGGGGCACAGGGGGAGCCUGCCUGUGGGCCAGCUAGGCUACCAGCGCUUGUCAGGGGGUCCGCACC
rnacentral:SRP_RNA from 1 species